rnacentral:rRNA from 1 species
UACAGAGGGGGCUAGCGUUGUUCGGAAUCACUGGGUGUAAAGGGUGCGUAGGCGGUCAACUAAGUCUGAUGUGAAAUCCCCCGGCUCAACUGGGGAACUGCAUUGGAAACUGGCUGGCUUGAGUGCCGGAGAGGGAAUCGGAAUUCCUGGUGUAGCGGUGAAAUGCGUAGAUACCAGGAGGAACACCGGUGGCGAAGGCGGAUUCCUGGCCGAGCACUGACGCUGAGGCACGAAAGCGUGGGGAGCGAACGGG